GUGGGGAAUUUUGGACAAUGGGCGAAAGCCUGAUCCAGCCAUGCCGCGUGCAGGAUGAAGGCCUUCGGGUUGUAAACUGCUUUUGUACGGAACGAAAAGACUCCUUCUAAUAAAGGGGGUCCAUGACGGUACCGUAAGAAUAAGCACCGGCUAACUACGUGCCAGCAGCCGCGGUAAUACGUAGGCUGCAAGCGUUAAUCGGAAUUACUGGGCGUAAAGCGUGCGCAGGCGGUUAUAUAAGACAGAUGUGAAAUCCCCGGGCUCAACCUGGGAACUGCAUUUGUGACUGUAUAGCGAGAGUACGGUAGAGGGGGAUGGAAUUCCGCGUGUAGCAGUGAAAUGCGUAGAUAUGCGGAGGAACACCGAUGGCGAAGGCAAUCCCCUGGACCUGUACUGACGCUCAUGCACGAAAGCGUGGGGAGCAAACAGGAUUAGAAACCCCGGUAGUCC
rnacentral:rRNA from 1 species